GCUUCCAAAGAGACCUGGAAAGAGAAUACAGGCUCCAGAGAGAUACCCCAACCCCUGCCCUGCAACAGCAAACCCCUCUGACCUGCAGAACACUCCAGAGACCUUAGCCAGAGAGCAGCUGCUGGUCUCGGGCUAGAUGGACCUCAUUCAGGACAAAGAAGCUUCAUUUGCUCACCCCAAGGCAGAAAGGAGCCAAAGGAUGAGACAGCAGGUGACUCUCAGCCUAGUGAGUCCUCAUGAGGGAUCUGAGUUAUGCCAUGGCUCCAGGCUCAGCACAGGGCUAGCAGGUGUAAGCACCAGGUGGCACCACCAAGUCCCACAAGUUUUCAUGGGGCAGGAUAUGGGGGCUGCCAAGAAAUAAGGCCUGGGAUCCUGUGGAAAGCAUUCUCUUCAGGCAGGAAAGCAAACUGGAACUCACGCCUUCUGGUUGACGAUGUUUAGGAGGUCCACCAUAACGGAGAGGUCGUUGAUGGCCACUGCGGAGUCCACAGAUGUCUGAGAAAAAGCAAGAGAGGCAAAUCAGGAUGAGGGCAAGUCUCCUAGAGAUAGACAUCAUGAAGGCAAGCCAAGUGGUGGUAAAGAAGAACGUCUUCCAAGGCUUUCAGCUACAUCUAUACACAGCCUUUGGCAGAGGGGAUCAGCCAUGCAGGUUUCAGCCCUUCCAUCGGACAAAAGUGUCUCUUUAUACACAGCAGGCUAUAUUUUGUCAAGCAAAUAGGAACAGGGUCACCUGCCAUGAUGAUGCUCUCUUAGGCAGGAAGAACUCAACCCAGGGAACAUCCUGCCUCAGGGGCUGUAAGAGCCAUUUCUCAUCCCGAAGCUCAUCUCCAGACUAAGACAAGCACUGGCUGAGAAUCUGCCAGAACACACCAAGGCCCCCCAGGGGGCAGCCAGCAGACAUCUUGAGAGGGAGCAUCCCCUAAAGGCCACUGAGGCACUUGACCACCAAAAAUUAGCACAAUUCUUUAAGGGACUUCAAGGCUCAUGCAAGUGACAGGGAUAAUGUGGCCAUGGAAAUGCUCCUUCUGAGUGGAGAGUAAGCAGGCAGCCCCCUCUAGUAGGAAUGGCAUCCACAAGAGAGAACGUGAAUGCUUAUUCUGAGUCUGUGUCACAUCUUGAGUUACGGGGUCUCCUUGCAGGUCACAGUCCUGCCACCCACCCCACUGCUGAGAAUGAUUCUGGGCUACCUCCUUGUCAGGUAGAGCAAAACUGUGUGGAAGCCCUCUCCUUCCAGCAUGGGAAGGUGAGAUGCUGCUGAUUACACCAUAAUAACCAACUUGUGGAAUGUAUUCCUACUGCAGAUUCCCCACCCCCACCCCGAAUUUCAAAUAUUUUGGCCUGAAUAAAGGGAUGUGUUGGGUGCCCAAGGUCACCAGGAAGGAGCCUUCUUAAAAGGCACAGGGCCUGCUCCCAAAGCAGCCCCUCUCCCCAGCUGGAGCAAAAGAUGCUCAUUCAUCAUCUGCAUCUCUCUUGGUCAACUGAUAACAAUAAAACUUCAAGCUUUUUGUAUCCAAGCUGACAGUGGUGGGAGGUUUGAGAUCUGGACCUGCUAAGCCCAAAGCCCCUGGCACUGUGCUGCUUAACAAAGACAACAAAAAGGCCACUUGCCUUGAUGUCUCCAGUGCUCCACACGGCCCUUACGGUGUCCAAGUUCUUGUGGCGGCUGGUAAGCACCACGCACAUGGUCUCGUGUCCCUUCCGGAUUUGGGACAUGGCCUCUUCAUCCACAAUCUCCGCCAGGUUUUGGUUGUUCACAGCCUGCAAGGACAGAAAGGAAAGGGAACUUGGCAUUGAUGGUCUAAUCUGUAAUGUAUUACACACACAAACACAUAAACUAUACCUUUUUGUA